AAAGUACUCCCUCUGUCCCAAAAGUCUUGUCUUAGAUUUGUCUAGAUACAGAUGUAUCAAGUCACAUUUUAGUAUUAGAUACAUCCGUAUCUAGACAAAUCUAAGACAAGAAAUUUGGGAUAGAGGGAGUAGUUG
rnacentral:pre_miRNA from 1 species